rnacentral:rRNA from 1 species
GACGAACGCUGGCGGCGUGCUUAACACAUGCAAGUCGAACGGUGAAGCGCCUUCCUUUUUGGUGGGUGUGGAUGAGUGGCGAACGGGUGAGUAACACGUGAGUAACCUGCCCCCUUCUUCUGGAUAACCGCAUGAAAGUGUGGCUAAUACGGGAUAUUCUGGGUCUGUCGCAUGAUGGGUCUGGGAAAGAUAUUGUUUCGGUGGGGGAUGGGCUCGCGGCCUAUCAGCUUGUUGGUGGGGUGAUGGCCUACCAAGGCGGUGACGGGUAGCCGGCCUGAGAGGGUGGACGGUCACACUGGGACGGAGACACGGCCCAGACUCCUACGGGAGGCAGCAGUGGGGAAUAUUGCACAAUGGGCGCAAGCCUGAUGCAGCGACGCCGCGUGAGGGAUGGAGGCCUUCGGGUUGUGAACCUCUUUCACCAGUGAAGCAGGCCUGCCUCGUUUGUGGGUGGGUUGACGGUAGCUGGAUAAGAAGCGCCGGCUAACUACGUG